rnacentral:ribozyme from 12 species
AAGAAAAGAAAAAGAAAAAGAAAAAGAAAAGCAACCAGUUUGUAAAGUGUUUCGUUCUAACCCAUUGCCCUAGUUGGCUCGGCUCUUUCUUUCUUAU